rnacentral:rRNA from 1 species
CUCGUGUCGUGAGAUGUUGGGUUAAGUCCCGUACGAGCGCAACCCUUGUCCUUAGUUACCAGCACGUUAUGGUGGGCACUCUAAGGAGACUGCCGGUGACAAACCGGAGGAAGGUGGGGAUGACGUCAAGUCAUCAUGGCCCUUACGGCCUGGGCUACACACGUGCUACAAUGGUCGGUACAAAGGGUUGCCAAGCCGCGAGGUGGAGCUAAUCCCAUAAAACCGAUCGUAGUCCGGAUCGCAGUCUGCAACUCGACUGCGUGAAGUCGGAAUCGCUAGUAAUCGUGAAUCAGAAUGUCACGGUGAAUACGUUCCCGGGCCUU